rnacentral:rRNA from 1 species
AAGCCCUGGAAACGGGGUCUAAUACCGGAUAUUGACCUUCACGGGCAUCUGUGAGGUUCGAAAGCUCCGGCGGUGCAGGAUGAGCCCGCGGCCUAUCAGCUUGUUGGUGAGGUAAUGGCUCACCAAGGCGACGACGGGUAGCCGGCCUGAGAGGGCGACCGGCCACACUGGGACUGAGACACGGCCCAGACUCCUACGGGAGGCAGCAGUGGGGAAUAUUGCACAAUGGGCGAAAGCCUGAUGCAGCGACGCCGCGUGAGGGAUGACGGCCUUCGGGUUGUAAACCUCUUUCAGCAGGGAAGAAGCGAAAGUGACGGUACCUGCAGAAGAAGCGCCGGCUAACUACGUGCCAGCAGCCGCGGUAAUACGUAGGGCGCAAGCGUUGUCCGGAAUUAUUGGGCGUAAAGAGCUCGUAGGCGGCUUGUCACGUCGGUUGUGAAAGCCCGGGGCUUAACCCCGGGUCUGCAGUCGAUACGGGCAGGCUAGAGUUCGGUAGGGGAGAUCGGAAUUCCUGGUGUAGCGGUGAAAUGCGCAGAUAUCAGGAGGAACACCGGUGGCGAAGGCGGAUCUCUGGGCCGAUACUGACGCUGAGGAGCGAAAGCGUGGGGAGCGAACAGGAUUAGAUACCCUGGUAGUCCACGCCGUAAACGGUGGGCACUAGGUGUGGGCAACAUUCCACGUUGUCCGUGCCGCAGCUAACGCAUUAAGUGCCCCGCCUGGGGAGUACGGCCGCAAGGCUAAAACUCAAAGGAAUUUGACGGGGGCCCGCACAAGCGGCGGAGCAUGUGGCUUAUUUCGACGCAACGCGAAGAACCUUACCA